rnacentral:rRNA from 1 species
GCUUAACGCGAAGAACCUUACCCAGGCUUGACAUCCUUGGAAGGCCUCCGAAAGGAGACUGUGCCUUCGGGAACCAAGUGACAGGUGUUGCAUGGCCGUCGUCAGCUCGUGUCGUGAGAUGUUUGGUUAAGUCCAUCAACGAGCGCAACCCUUAUAGUUAGUUGAAUUUCUCUAGCUAGACUGCCCCGGCAACGGGGAGGAAGGAGGGGAUGAUGUCAGGUCAGUAUUACCCUUACGCCUGGGGCUAGAAACACGCUACAAUGGCCGGUACAAAGGGCUGCCAAGUCGCGAGACGGAGCAAAUCCCAUCAAAGCCGGUCUCAGUUCGGAUAGCAGGCUGAAACUCGCCUGCUUGAAGUUGGAAUCGCUAGUAACGGUAGGUCAGCACACUACCGUGAAUACGUUCCCGGGUCUUGUACACACCG